UUAAGCGACUAAGCGUACACGGUGGAUGCCCUGGCAGUCAGAGGCGAUGAAGGACGUGCUAAUCUGCGAUAAGCGUCGGUAAGGUGAUAUGAACCGUUAUAACCGGCGAUUUCCGAAUGGGGAAACCCAGUGUGUUUCGACACACUAUCAUUAACUGAAUCCAUAGGUUAAUGAGGCGAACCGGGGGAACUGAAACAUCUAAGUACCCCGAGGAAAAGAAAUCAACCGAGAUUCCCCCAGUAGCGGCGAGCGAACGGGGAGCAGCCCAGAGCCUGAAUCAGUGUGUGUGUUAGUGGAAGCGUCUGGAAAGGCGCGCGAUACAGGGUGACAGCCCCGUACACAAAAAUGCACAUGCUGUGAGCUCGAUGAGUAGGGCGGGACACGUGGUAUCCUGUCUGAAUAUGGGGGGACCAUCCUCCAAGGCUAAAUACUCCUGACUGACCGAUAGUGAACCAGUACCGUGAGGGAAAGGCGAAAAGAACCCCGGCGAGGGGAGUGAAAAAGAACCUGAAACCGUGUACGUACAAGCAGUGGGAGCACGCUUAGGCGUGUGACUGCGUACCUUUUGUAUAAUGGGUCAGCGACUUAUAUUCUGUAGCAAGGUUAACCGAAUAGGGGAGCCGAAGGGAAACCGAGUCUUAACUGGGCGUUAAGUUGCAGGGUAUAGACCCGAAACCCGGUGAUCUAGCCAUGGGCAGGUUGAAGGUUGGGUAACACUAACUGGAGGACCGAACCGACUAAUGUUGAAAAAUUAGCGGAUGACUUGUGGCUGGGGGUGAAAGGCCAAUCAAACCGGGAGAUAGCUGGUUCUCCCCGAAAGCUAUUUAGGUAGCGCCUCGUGAAUUCAUCUCCGGGGGUAGAGCACUGUUUCGGCAAGGGGGUCAUCCCGACUUACCAACCCGAUGCAAACUGCGAAUACCGGAGAAUGUUAUCACGGGAGACACACGGCGGGUGCUAACGUCCGUCGUGAAGAGGGAAACAACCCAGACCGCCAGCUAAGGUCCCAAAGUCAUGGUUAAGUGGGAAACGAUGUGGGAAGGCCCAGACAGCCAGGAUGUUGGCUUAGAAGCAGCCAUCAUUUAAAGAAAGCGUAAUAGCUCACUGGUCGAGUCGGCCUGCGCGGAAGAUGUAACGGGGCUAAACCAUGCACCGAAGCUGCGGCAGCGACGCUUAUGCGUUGUUGGGUAGGGGAGCGUUCUGUAAGCCUGCGAAGGUGUGCUGUGAGGCAUGCUGGAGGUAUCAGAAGUGCGAAUGCUGACAUAAGUAACGAUAAAGCGGGUGAAAAGCCCGCUCGCCGGAAGACCAAGGGUUCCUGUCCAACGUUAAUCGGGGCAGGGUGAGUCGACCCCUAAGGCGAGGCCGAAAGGCGUAGUCGAUGGGAAACAGGUUAAUAUUCCUGUACUUGGUGUUACUGCGAAGGGGGGACGGAGAAGGCUAUGUUGGCCGGGCGACGGUUGUCCCGGUUUAAGCGUGUAGGCUGGUUUUCCAGGCAAAUCCGGAAAAUCAAGGCUGAGGCGUGAUGACGAGGCACUACGGUGCUGAAGCAACAAAUGCCCUGCUUCCAGGAAAAGCCUCUAAGCAUCAGGUAACAUCAAAUCGUACCCCAAACCGACACAGGUGGUCAGGUAGAGAAUACCAAGGCGCUUGAGAGAACUCGGGUGAAGGAACUAGGCAAAAUGGUGCCGUAACUUCGGGAGAAGGCACGCUGAUAUGUAGGUGAAGCGACUUGCUCGUGGAGCUGAAAUCAGUCGAAGAUACCAGCUGGCUGCAACUGUUUAUUAAAAACACAGCACUGUGCAAACACGAAAGUGGACGUAUACGGUGUGACGCCUGCCCGGUGCCGGAAGGUUAAUUGAUGGGGUUAGCCGCAAGGCGAAGCUCUUGAUCGAAGCCCCGGUAAACGGCGGCCGUAACUAUAACGGUCCUAAGGUAGCGAAAUUCCUUGUCGGGUAAGUUCCGACCUGCACGAAUGGCGUAAUGAUGGCCAGGCUGUCUCCACCCGAGACUCAGUGAAAUUGAACUCGCUGUGAAGAUGCAGUGUACCCGCGGCAAGACGGAAAGACCCCGUGAACCUUUACUAUAGCUUGACACUGAACAUUGAGCCUUGAUGUGUAGGAUAGGUGGGAGGCUUUGAAGUGUGGACGCCAGUCUGCAUGGAGCCGACCUUGAAAUACCACCCUUUAAUGUUUGAUGUUCUAACGUUGACCCGUAAUCCGGGUUGCGGACAGUGUCUGGUGGGUAGUUUGACUGGGGCGGUCUCCUCCUAAAGAGUAACGGAGGAGCACGAAGGUUGGCUAAUCCUGGUCGGACAUCAGGAGGUUAGUGCAAUGGCAUAAGCCAGCUUGACUGCGAGCGUGACGGCGCGAGCAGGUGCGAAAGCAGGUCAUAGUGAUCCGGUGGUUCUGAAUGGAAGGGCCAUCGCUCAACGGAUAAAAGGUACUCCGGGGAUAACAGGCUGAUACCGCCCAAGAGUUCAUAUCGACGGCGGUGUUUGGCACCUCGAUGUCGGCUCAUCACAUCCUGGGGCUGAAGUAGGUCCCAAGGGUAUGGCUGUUCGCCAUUUAAAGUGGUACGCGAGCUGGGUUUAGAACGUCGUGAGACAGUUCGGUCCCUAUCUGCCGUGGGCGCUGGAGAACUGAGGGGGGCUGCUCCUAGUACGAGAGGACCGGAGUGGACGCAUCACUGGUGUUCGGGUUGUCAUGCCAAUGGCACUGCCCGGUAGCUAAAUGCGGAAGAGAUAAGUGCUGAAAGCAUCUAAGCACGAAACUUGCCCCGAGAUGAGUUCUCCCUGACCCUUUAAGGGUCCUGAAGGAACGUUGAAGACGACGACGUUGAUAGGCCGGGUGUGUAAGCGCAGCGAUGCGUUGAGCUAACCGGUACUAAUGAACCGUGAGGCUUAACCUU
rnacentral:rRNA from 1 species